ACCAGGAUGGCCGAGUGGUUAAGGCGUUGGACUUAAGUUCCAAUGUUCGUAUGCACGCGUGGGUUCGAACCCCACUCCUGGUA
rnacentral:tRNA from 2 species